AUUGAACGCUGGCGGCAGGCCUAACACAUGCAAGUCGAACGAGUGGCGGACGGGUGAGUAAUGUCUGGGAAACUGCCCGAUGGAGGGGGAUAACUACUGGAAACGGUAGCUAAUACCGCAUACCCUCGGAUGUGCCCAGAUGGGAUUAGCUUGUAGGUGAGGUACCGGCUCACCUAGGCGACGAUCCCUAGCUGGUCUGAGAGGAUGACCAGCCAGACUGGAACGGAGACACGGUCCAUAGUCCUACGGGAGGCAGCAGUGGGGAAUAUUGCACAAGGGGGGGAAGCCUGAGGCAGACAUGCCGAGUGUAUGUAGAAGGCCUUCGGGUUGUAAAGUACUUGCAGCGGGGAGGCGUUACCCGCAGAAGAAGCACCGGCUAACUCCGUGCCAGCAGCCGCGGUAAUAC
rnacentral:rRNA from 1 species